GGUGUCAUCGUCUCUUUGAGGAAGAAAAGUUCUAAGGAGGAAGAUGACUCAGAAGUGGUGGUGGACUGGCCCACAAAGCGGUGCGUGCGAUGUGUAUCUUUGAUGCCGCAAAACAUGACAUAUAGGAGCACUCGAUCGUGCGGAGCGGGGCCGCGCUCGUCCUCCGGUUGGGCCGCUGAUCUUGGACCGCAAACACCAACCAUCACCAUUACCACCUAUCCACACUUAAUAUUUUUUUUAUUCCACACGAAAAAUUACUUCCUCUUAUUUCUUGGGAGAAAAUAACCAUUGUUAACUCCAGUACAUCUUCCUAUUCUCCCCAAAUCGCUCGACGGAAAUCUAUUUGAAAUAGCACGACAAGUUCGUUGAUAGAAUUACCAUAUAUACUCGCGAUGCAACGCGGCCCCAGCCAGCUCGCCAUGACCCGGUUGGGACAUAGUUGUUGCCUUUCAUCAGCUACACCGGUGGACGACGCCAUGAGGAGAUCUUCCUAUGCCUCCCGCCAGACAACCCUGCUAGCCUCGUUCGCUCCGCCUCCGUUUCCUUGAACUUGCAGUCCAUCCUCUAUGACACCGCUAUCCCAUGUGUCUAGCGCGAGUUCCUCGGGGCGCACCCAUGCUGGGCUUCCUCCACAAUAACUGCGAUGAGGAGCACUACGUCUUUGUUUCAUCUCCACCUCAUUUCUGUCUAGGUGUCGCAACCAUGCUAACUGGUUAGUUCUUGACUCCUGACACGGUCGAGUCCCGAGUUCUCUUCUGGACCCUUAAAGCGUUUGCGGAGGAAUCCAUAGUCAGCCACCCGAGUUCUCUUCUGGACCCUUAAAGCGUUUGCGGAGGAAUCCAUAGUCAGCCACCCCAUGACCAACACAACGUGGAAAAUUCCCCCAACCCCAAGUAUUUAGUCUGAAUCUUCAAUGCACAUGGAGUUGAGGAAUUCUACCUAACCUGAAAUGCCAUUAUGCUAUGCUGUAACAACUUCCGUGACCACCUCGAUUGCCGUGAGGAUCCUUUCCUCGUAGUCUUAGUGGGCCCUAAGAACGCCGACAAGGGGAUUACGUUCGCUGCCGUCUACUCAUCUGAUUGUGAGUGUAGUGAAACCAUCAUUAUUUUACCAAGCAAACGCUAUCAGCGUUGGGGUUGUUGUCCUUGUAGAAUAUAAGGUAUACUUCCUCUGGGGGACAUCAAACGGAAUCGUGGAGCACAACGUCGGUAAGAAGGUAUUAUUGUUGAUCUAUACGUCGUUCCAGGUAAGGAACCACGUUGUCCUUACAGUGGUGUGGAAUGACAUACUCUUGUUCCCAGGUGUUUGGGAAUCUAAGUUUCACCUCUGGCAAAUGAAGGCCGGUCCCAAAGGAGAUGUUGCAUGGGCACGCCACAGGGCUCUUGAGCUCGAACCAUUUAUCUCGCCUCCAGCCAUCUCUAAGGCGUUUGUGGUUGGUGUUGUGAACGGUGUUGGUGUCGAAUUAUGCCCAAGUACAGAGACUCGGUUGUUUAUAAAUGAACUCAAUUCAGGCUGAAGUAAGACGGUGUGCUGCAAGAAAUCCUCUUGGAAAAUCAUUCGAAGAGGAUUUGUUCCACAACUUCUUACUUCGCCCUGAAUGGAGAUCAAUCAUAAACAACCCAACCUCCGUACUCAGGAAUAAUCUGACACCAACACGCUCCACAACACCAACCAUGAACGUCUCAGAGACCGUUGGAGGCCAGAACAAUGUUUCGAGCUUAGGAGCCAUGCGGCGUGCCCAUGCUGCAUCUCCUUUGUGACCAGCCUCCAUCGACCACAUGUGAAGCUUAGAUUCCCACCCACGAACAAAAGCAUGCCAUCCUCCACCGCUGUAAGGACAUGUGGUGCCCGCCUUGGAACGACAUACAGAUCAGCGAUAAUUCCUACUCACCCGUAUUCCAGGGUUCCGUUUGAUGUCUCACAUGGGAAGUAUACCUUAUCUUCCAGAAUGACAGUGACCCCUGCGCUGAUAGCAUUUGCUUGGUCAGUAGUGAUGGAUUCACUCCACUCACCAAACUAAAAUGAGUUGAACACGGUGAACCUAAUCCCUUUGUCGACAUUCUCGGAGCCCACUAAGACCACGAGGAAAGGGCUGCCGCGGCAAUCAAGGUGGUCAGAGUAGUUGUUAGAGCAUAGCAAUGUGACAUUCCAGGUAAGGUAGAAUUCCUCGUCUCCAUAUGCAUUGACGAGUCUAGAUGAAUACCUACGGUUGGGGAGAACUUUACACGUCGUGUUGGUCUUGGGGUUGCUGAUAAUGAAUUCGUCCGCAAACGGUGUAGGGGUCCACAAGAGGAUGCGACCCGAGAACUAACCAGUCGAUGCGGUUGCGACACCCAAACGGAAAUGGGGAGAGGUGGAGAUGAAAUGGGAGACACAAUGCUCCUCGAUGCAGCUAUUGUGGAGGAAGCCCAGCAAUGGCAGCGCCCCGUGGAACUCGCAGGUGAAGGUGGCAUGAAACAUGUCUUGUAUAGUAUUUGUUAACUUGGCUGCUGGAGUUGGGUCGUCCUGGUGCCGCUGCCGGGCCGCCCGUCUUGCCCUGCAAACAACCGACCAUCACAUCACCAUCUAUCCAGACAUCUACUACUUAACAGGAAUUAGAUUGUUUCAUUGUCAGCCUAAUAUAUCGUUCGUUUUUGUCCUCCGUCCCGCCCCUCCCUUCGUUCGCAAUAGCUCUCCCCGCCUAAUAUAUGGUGAUGAUGUCGCCAUAGCCUGCAGAGCUCGAACCGCGCCGUCGCCUGUGUUCUGUGCCCCCAUGAUUUCGAGCAAAGACAAGCACACGUCCAUGCCGCGUCCAUCCUCGUGACGGGUCUCCGCCCGCGCCCUUAGGCCCGCAGCGACACCACACAAGGCCCACCACCAGCCCACCAAGUCCUACACCACCCUGCCGCCGCUGAUGGAGUACGAGCUUCCGCACGCGCCAAAUCUGGGGCUCACGCUCUCCAGGCUCAAGGAGUUUCGUGAUGCAAAUCGACCACCAACCGAUUGGGUGCAAGCCACGGCGCUUGGCCGAGCCAAUCCUAAAAGCAUUCGGGCCUGAAUCUGAUGGACAAGACAUUUGCAGUUUGGAGCGCUAGGCUUGUCUGCACCAUCUAUAUUGUGGAGACAGCCAGUCCGUCGAAAACAUCCUGAGCGCAUGCACGGAUGUUGUGCAUUCUUGUUCAUGUCCAAUCUCAUCGGUUUGUGCACACUCAACAAGUUAGUAUCCAGAACAACUUCACCGCAUUCUAGGUGCUUAUUGCUGCCGUUAAUUUGAUUGUGGUAGUAUUAUAGACUGUCACCAAAGAGCAAUGAAAUGGAACAACGCUGUAUCCGGUACUAUAGCUGGAUAUAGUGGUUGUGCAUAUGUAAAUUUUGGGCAUGUGCUAUUUACCAGUGCUGCAGCUGAAGAUGUUGUUCAUGGUUCAGCGCCCUGUACUAAAUAAUACAUUUUUUAACUUCUGGGAGACAGUCAUUUCAUUGAUUUAUGCUAAUUAGAAACAAUACCUACAGAACUUCUAUUUUUUUCUUCUUCUGGUCAAUGUUUAGCGCCAUACCAAAUCCUUCUAGAUUUUGCAUAUACUUAUAGUUGGCAUGUGUAUUCUCAUUAAAGGCCAUGACUGAGCAAGAAGCACGCCAAAUAUUAGGUAUCAGUGAAGACGAGAUGGGACGAGAUCAUGAAGGUCUGACAAUAGACGGUGGUGUUCUGUUUAUCUUCUAGCAAGUGGUAUUUAUUUUUAUUGAUAUUGAGAUGAAUUAAGGUUCUCUCCAUGGGCUUCAUGAAUUAAGAUUUUAAAGCACAUGCACAGUAUAAGCUGGCAUUGUAAGAUUUGGAUACCUUUAAACAUGGAUGGUAGUAUACUAUUUUAUGAGGUUGAUUUAUAUUACUAAGCAUGGUUUUUGAGUCGUUGUAGUCUCUGAAUAGUCGUUGUAUAGUUGCCGAGUCGUUUUCCAAAAAUCACGGUGAAUCGCGACUAUACAGCGACUUAUGGCGACUAUACAACUUUUUUGGUCGACUAUACAUGAGUCGCAGCCUCAGGCGACUCACUUUUGAGUCGCGACUCAAAAACCAUGUUACUAAGGUGUGGAUGUGUGUGUAUCAUUGUAAAAAAUGUCCAUGCUGUUUUUUCCACGAUAAUCGCUGUUCUUUAUAUCAUCUUUUAAUUGACGCUCUUAUUGCAUUAUAUAAUGUUUGCCUGUUGGCAAAUGAAAUAAAGUGAGUUAAAUAUCGCGUUCCUUAUUUCAAGUACCAAAUUUACUUUCAUUAUGCUUGUGGUUCAUUGUAGCAUCUUGCUGGCUGUGAUCCUGUCAUCAACUGAACUUUUAGAAGCUUAUUGAAGAGUUAGUUUUAUCGAUGUUUAAUCAAAUUUAUCUUUGCCCAUUUUCCCUGAUUUGUUUAUAAUGAUUUACACCUUCCCUUCUCGUGAAUGGUUAUUUUUUCCGAAUGAUUUCAGACAUCUGAUGAGAACUAAAUUCUCAUAUUUCUGGUUAUAUGGCCCAUUUGUCUCUCAAGGGUAGUAUGAUCUUUAUUCUUUGCCAAUUCAGAAAUUUCAUGUGUAAGGUCUUAAAUGGAUAGCUAGGACUGGAAAGAUAAAACAUUUUUGCAUCCUGUUACAGCGUCCACCUAUUCCUGGAAUUUUUGUGAUCCAUAAAUGAUCUUAUUAGAUGGGCAAAAUAACUCUUGGUGGAAUGGAAAGCACCAGUUUGGACCCCAUUUCUUGCCCAUAUUUCAUGAUCUGACUUGCAUAUUCCAUUAUAUGUAAGUCUUAAGACAAUGUAUGCAUCAAUCAUUCUGAUUUCAGGUUUGCUUGGUCGAUGUGUUCUCUGAACAAUUUUGAAGCAUUGUACAUACUAAUUUGGUAGAAUUACCUUUCAACCAUGUUCAAUUGCCUAAUCAAGAUGCUGCUGCUUCAUUAUAUAGGAGAACUUGCAGCACCUCAACUCUCUCUGCACUUGACCAACUGUUUCUUUUAUGUAAGGGAUCCCUCUGCACUUGACCAGAAUGCUAUGAGUAAUAUAUGCACAGGCAGUGUAACUUUUAGAGAAGUCCAUUUGAGAUUGAAGGCAAGGACCAGUAGGAGGAGCACGCCGAGGGUGACGACAAGGGAGAAGAUCCAGCAGCAGCUGUGGCAGUUACUUGGAUGUCAUGGUAUUAGCUGCACGUGGAUAUGAACGAGCAGCUGGAUGGGUGUGUCCUUUCCAGUUGUCCUGUACAAGAUAUUGAUCAGGGAUCUGGGGCUCUGGAUGAUCGGAGGUGGUGCAGGAGACAAGGAUAGAAUCUGGCUGGGGCGGAUGAGUCGCUGGGUUGGGGUGGACGGGCGGUUGAG